AUUGAACGCUGGCGGCAGGCUUAACACAUGCAAGUCGAGCGGGGGGAGGUAGCUUGCUACCGGACCUAGCGGCGGACGGGUGAGUAAUGCUUAGGAAUCUGCCUAUUAGUGGGGGACAACAUCUCGAAAGGGAUGCUAAUACCGCAUACGUCCUACGGGAGAAAGCAGGGGAUCUUCGGACCUUGCGCUAAUAGAUGAGCCUAAGUCGGAUUAGCUAGUUGGUGGGGUAAAGGCCUACCAAGGCGACGGUCUGUAGCGGGUCUGAGAGGAUGAUCCGCCACACUGGGACUGAGACGCGGCCCAGAAUCCUACGGGAGGCAGCAGUGGGGAAUAUUGGACAAUGGGGGGAACCCUGAUCCAGCCAUGCCGCGUGUGUGAAGAAGGCCUUAUGGUUGUAAAGCACUUUAAGCGAGGAGGAGGCUACUUUAGUUAAUACCUAGAGAUAGUGGACGUUACUCGCAGAAUAAGCACCGGCUAACUCUGUGCCAGCCGCCGCGGUAA
rnacentral:rRNA from 1 species